GAACUUAGAGGAAAGUGACAACUCAUAGCUGUUAAAUUGCACAAGAGACGCUUUCUCUCCCAGUAAGAGCAGCAGCGGAGAGAAGCAGCUGUGGUCCCUGGAGCAUCUCAGUGAGCGACCAAGCCUCGGCAAGGGACUGCUGCAAGAUCUCUGCUGCAGCACUUUAGGCGGGCAUGGAUUAAACAGAGUUUUGAUCGUCAUUACUGUUCAGAAUCUCUGCUGGCCAUCCAGAACCUGACAAUGUCCCUGGGUCCUGACCUAAGACGAAGGGUGAGCGGGCAGCAUGCUGACCUUUGGUGAGCAGAGCAGGUAAGCCAUAAGUCUAUUCUCCUUAGUCCCACAUCUCCAGAAUUUGAAAACCUCCAUGAUGAUGAUCACAACAGCACAAUAAAAAACCUGCUUUCUCCAUGUGUGAAUGUUGACACAUGUACAGAUAUGUUGUAUGAGAACUUCAGUAACACUGCCACAACCAUCAGCUUGUCUUUUAUUUUUAAUUAUUCUUACAAAUAUUGCUGUCUACUAUAUCUGUUUUGAAAUACGAAAGAAUGUUAACUGGUCUCUCUUGGUCUACACUUGAUAAAGUUGUGGCUAUCUUAGUUUUACUAUUCAAUUAUUGUUGAUAUCCUAGUUUUUUUCCUUUUGUACAAAGCCUUGAAGCCCUUACUUGCUACUAUGUAAGUUCAGGGACAUUCAGUCCUUACAGAAAUGAUUUAGAAUGUCCAAACCUAAAAUGCUGUUUCUCUGUAGUUAA